GGCUCAGGAUGAACGCUGGCGGCGUGCCUAAUACAUGCAAGUCGAGCGAACAGAUAAGGAGCUUGCUCCUUUGACGUUAGCGGCGGACGGGUGAGUAACACGUGGAUAACCUACCUAUAAGACUGGGAUAACUUCGGGAAACCGGAGCUAAUACCGGAUAACAUAUUGAACCGCAUGGUUCAAUAGUGAAAGGCGGCUUUGCUGUCACUUAUAGAUGGAUCCGCGCCGUAUUAGCUAGUUGGUAAGGURACGGCUUACCAAGGCAACGAUACGUAGCCGACCUGAGAGGGUGAUCGGCCACACUGGAACUGAGACACGGUCCAGACUCCUACGGGAGGCAGCAGUAGGGAAUCUUCCGCAAUGGGCGAAAGCCUGACGGAGCAACGCCGCGUGAGUGAUGAAGGUCUUCGGAUCGUAAAACUCUGUUAUCAGGGAAGAACAAAUGUGUAAGU
rnacentral:rRNA from 1 species